UCAGGAGCUAGCGGCUAAGCAAUUGAAGGAGGAAUCAUGAGACAUUAAAUGAAUUUAGAUCAAAAUGGAGUGAAGGAUGUUGACACAAAGUCUAUUGAUUGUUGUAUGUCAUAGGGGAUGCCAAGACAACCUCAGCAGCGAUCAAAGGAACCUCAAUGGCGAUAAAAGGCAGCUCUGCAAAUACCAUUUUGCGAGCGAAUUAACAUCACCCCUCUUCUUAUCAGCAACGGAUCAAAAUACUACCACUAUUUUUCAUUAAGCCAUGGCAUUCUAAAGUCUGAAUAUAGAUCAUGCUCCAGUGAAAGUGAUUGACUCAUUGCUGAAAAGAUAAUUGGAAAGGCACUGGGAAGUGUAUUAAGAUAUUGUGUUCAGUGCAUAUCUUUUUAGUUCCCUCUUUUGGUGCUCUUGUUAAAACCACACCAGAAAUUUUCGAAGUUCCAAGCUCAGCCAGUUCAGAAGAAUCUA